rnacentral:rRNA from 1 species
UUUAAUUUACUAGUUUAAUUUUGUAAAGAAGUUUAUUUAAUAAAAUCAUUUUUAAAUGAAAGAGUUUUAGUAUAGGAUAUAGAUAAAAUUGUUAGAGUAAUAGAUUAAUUGUAUUGUGAAAGGUUACUUGAAAUAUAUUGAAAAUAUAAUUUUUUAAAAGUAGAUUUGAUUUAUUGUACCUUGUGUAUCAGGGUUUAUUAAAAAUUUUAUGAAUAGUCAUAUUUCCCGAUUUGAAGAGAGCUAAUUAAUUAUGUUAGUUAAUGUAGAAUAAUUAUUAAAAAUAAUUAAUUAGUAAUGAAACGUUAUCCGUUCUUCAAGAUAUCUGGUUUUCUAAGAAAUGAAUUUAAUUCAGAUAUUUAAAGUUAAGUAUUUGUUUGUAAGAAGUAGUUAAUUAUUAAAUAUUAAUAUUUCGGGGGAUAAGCUUCGAAAUAUUACCUAUAAGAUUAUUUUUGGUUCAAAAAUGUUGUAGGCUUAGAAUUAGCCAUCAAUAAAAGGAUGUUAUAAUUUAAUUUUUGUUCAAUAAAAUUUUCAUUAAUUUUAGGAAGUUCAUUAGAAUGUUACUUUUAAUUUUAAAAAGUUAGUAAUAAUGAUAAAAUUAGUAUAAAAAUUGUUUAUUAUUUAAAUUUAAUGUAAGGUUAUAUUAAGGAAUUAGGCAAAUAAAUACUCGCCUGUUUAACAAAAACAUGUCUUCUUGAUUAUAAUUUGAAGUCUGACCUGCCCACUGAAUUUUAAAUUUUAAGGGCCGCGGUAUUUUGACCGUGCAAAGGUAGCAUAAUCAUUAGUCUUUUAAUUGAAGGCUAGAAUGAAUGGUUGGACGAGGUAUUGACUGUCUCAAUAUAAAUGAGAGUAGAAUUUAACUUUUAAGUCAAAAGGCUUAAAUGUCAUUAAAGGACGAGAAGACCCUAUAGAGCUUUAUAUUGAAGUAUUUAUUAUAAAUUUAGAAGAAUUUUUUUUAAUAGGUAUUGAAGUAUUUUGUUGGGGUGACAGGAAGAUAAACAAAACUCUUUUUAGUUUAAUUACAUUGAUUUAUGAAUUGUUGAUCCAUUUUUAGUGAUUAUAAGACUAAGUUACCUUAGGGAUAACAGCGUAAUCUUUUUCGAGAGUUCUUAUCGACAAAAAGGGUUGCGACCUCGAUGUUGGAUUAAGGGUAAUUUUGGGUGUAGAUGUUCAAAGUUUAGGUCUGUUCGACCUUUAAAUCCUUACAUGAUCUGAGUUCAGACCGGUGUAAGCCAGGUCGGUUUCUAUCCUUAAUAAAUAGUGAUGCUUUAGUACGAAAGGACCAAGUAUUGGAAAUAAAUUUCUUAAAUGUUGAUUAAUAUUAACGGAAUU